GAUGAAGAACGUAGUGAAAUGCGAUAAGUAAUGUGAAUUGCAGAAUUCAGUGAAUCAUCGAAUCUUUGAACGCAUCUUGCGCUCCUUGGUAUUCUGAGGAGCAUGCCUGUUUGAGUGUCAUUAAAUUCUCAACUACACUGACUUUGAAUUGGUGUGGCUUGGAUUUGGGGGGAAAAUUGUUGUGGGCUUUUUGUAUAGUCUGCUCCCCUGAAAUUGAUUAGCGGUACCUUUGUGGAACUGUCUACAGGUGUGAUAAUUAUCUACAUCUUAAACAUCUGCUGGAAUGCUGCUUUCUAAACCUUACUUGUAUUGACAAUCUUGACCUCAAAUCAGGUAGGACUACCCGCUGAACUUAAGCAUAUCAAUAAGCGGAGGA
rnacentral:misc_RNA from 1 species